rnacentral:rRNA from 1 species
UACGUAGGGUGCAAGCGUUAAUCGGAAUUACUGGGCGUAAAGGGUGCGUAGGCGGCUUUGUAAGUCAGUGGUGAAAUAUGGCAGCUCAACUGUCAGGGUGCCAUUGAUACUGCGGAGCUUGAGUACAGAUGAGGUAGGCGGAAUUGACGGUGUAGCGGUGAAAUGCUUAGAUAUCGUCAAGAACACCGAUAGCGAAGGCAGCUUACUGGGCUGUAACUGACGCUGAGGCACGAAAGUGUGGGGAUCAAACAGG